GACACAGCACAGAAGGUUUCAGAAAUGGUGCAUCUCCUUCUGGAUAUACUCCAGGCACCUGAUCCUUCCGUCUUGGAGACGUUUCUUGGAAGGAUUCCUAUGGUGUUCAAUGUUGUGAUUUUGUCUCCGCAUGGUUACUUUGGCCAAGCCAAUGUCUUGGGUCUGCCUGAUACUGGUGGACAGGUUGUGUACAUUCUUGAUCAAGUACGUGCUUUAGAAAAUGAAAUGCUCCUUAGGAUACA